rnacentral:rRNA from 1 species
UUACUAGAGUAGCACUCGCAUAUCAAUAAGCGGAGGAAAAGAAACUAACAAGGAUUCCCCUAGUAACGGCGAGUGAAGCGGGAAGAGCUCAAAUUUGAAAUCUUAAAGGGUUUCCCUUUACGAAUUGUAGUUUAAAGAAGUGUUUUCUGUUGAGGUUUUGGUAAAAGUUCUUUGGAAUAGGACAUCAUAGAGGGUGAGAAUCCCGUAUUUGACCUUUACUUUCAACUUUGUGAUACACUUUCAAAGAGUCGGAUUGUUUGGGAAUGCAGUCCAAAAUGGGUGGUAAAUUUCAUCUAAAGCUAAAUAUUGGCGAGAGACCGAUAGCGAACAAGUACCGUGAGGGAAAGAUGAAAAGAACUUUGAAAAGAGAGUUAAACAGUACGUGAAAUUGUCAAAAGGGAAGCGUUUGACACCAGUGUUGUUUUUCUGAAAAUCAAUUAAAGAACUGUUUAUGCUAAGUUGUUUAGACUUUAUCAGCUAACUGUUUAGUUUUGAGCUUUUCUUUAAUGCACUUUUCAGUUAACAAGUCAACAUCAAUUUCUUUUGCUGUAAAAAAGCUUGAGGAAGGUGGCUUGAGAUUCGUCUUAAGUGUUUAUAGCCUCUUGCCUAUGCAGUCGGAGAGAUUGAGGUCUGCAGCGUAGAUCCUUCGGGGCUAAAUGCAUUUGUGCUAAGUUAUAGCAUUUUAUAGACAACUUGUUGACUAUGAUUUGUCUUGUAGCUUACUCGCUUAUGUUAUUUUACCUACGCUUAGGAUGUUGAGCGCAUGUCUCUCUCU